UGUCAAGAUACAGGGAGGUCUCAUGC
rnacentral:piRNA from 1 species